UACGCUAGUCUGGCCGAACUACUUUCGGGUCAGCGUCACUUGGGGUGGGGGGAGCGGACGUCCUGGCUUUCCCACCCCCUGCUCGGGGGUGGUGUUCAGGGCUGCUGCCUUCUUAGGGCCUGGGCCUGGGCCUGGGCCUGGGCCCCAGAAGAGCAGAGAGCACGUCGUGCCCGCCCCCUCCUCACUGGGUCGAGGACUCAAGGAGGAAGGAAGGGGCCCUUUUGUCUCAGGCCACAGCCCCGCACACAGCAGGAGUUUAAUAAAUGCUUCUCGGCCCCUUCCCUCGAAGUGGAGGACAGAGGACAGACGGGCUAGACGUGGAGCACUCCGCCAGCCCUUUUUGCAGACGAGGAAACUGAGGCCCACCGAGGGUGGGAAUCGCCCGAGGUCACGCGGCGGAGACUCCAGUGGUCCGGACUUCCCCGAGGUCCGCUCGGACCCUCCUAGCGGCCCCGGGUCCGGCCCACGAGGUGGAAAAGCUACCCGCACCCCGUCCUGAGGCCACCCCGGGAGUCACCGGGAUGCGGUGAUGUCCUUCUCCCUUCUUAAACAAAAGAACUGACUCCUAGGCCAGCCAAGAAAGUCGGUGUGUAUUCGAAGAAGUGCUCGGUGGCCUGGGGCGGGAUGAGGGAGUCGGAGGUGGGGCCCCCAUAAAGCUCUCAGGCACUUUUGUUUCUCACCGGAUGCAUGCAUGUGCAAAGGAGGCCAAGAGAUCCCCCAGAACCACAGCUGCAGAGCCCAGCAGAGGCAUGCUCUGGCCUUUGUGAAGAUGCCCCUACUUCUGGUUAUGUGGACAAUCAAAAAAAAAAAAAAAAGGAACCAGUCCAUCACCGAAUAUCUAUAGACCUGUCCCUCGGUCUAUUCAAAGCCCUUUAUUCCAUGCCAUGACUAGGCUCCUAGAAGCAGAAGCCCUAUGUGGGGAGACACUGAGGCACUCUACAAGGAGCCAGACCCAAGUUACAUCUGUAAAGGAUGUUGCAAACCUGAACAAAAAAUGAAUAAACACAAAAAAUAAACUUUUUA